CCUACGGGUGGCAGCAGUGAGGAAUAUUGGUCAAUGGCCGGAAGGCUGAACCAGCCAAGUCGCGUGAGGGAAGAAGGCCCUAUGGGUUGUAAACCUCUUUUGUCAGGGAGCAAAGGCGGCCACGUGUGGACGAGAGGAGAGUACCUGAAGAAAAAGCGUCGGCCAACUCCGUGCCAGCAGCCGCGGUAAUACGGAGGAUGCGAGCGUGAUCCGGAUUUAUUGGGUUUCAAGGGUGCGUAGGCGGAGUGUCAAGUCAGCGGUAAAAUUUCGGGGCUCACCCCCGUCGUGCCGUUGAAACUGACGCCCUUGUGUGUGUGAGAAGUAAGCGGACUGCGUGGUGUAGCGGUGAACUGCAUAGCUAUCACGCAGAACUCCGAUUGC
rnacentral:rRNA from 1 species